UGAGUGGCUAAGUAACACCAGGAACUUUUGAGAAUGCACAAAGAAAUCAGAACAUAUGGUAAGUUCUUUCCUCUUGUUCUUAUAUUACCAGAUUAGAUCAUGCACAAAGCUUAACCACGAGUCUUCCCACUCCCAAGUGUAAGCUCCAGUUCAUCCACUCCUACCUCAUGAAUUCUCUCACCCUCCCACGCCUUCACUCUGCCACUCUCAAACUCAAACUCUGGCCGGCCCCUCUCUGCUGCUGCACCCCAGCCCAGACCUCCAUGCUCAUCAACUGCAUUGGGGAUAGAACACUCCAUAGCCACUGGUUUUACAAGAUUAAAUGUAGGGGAAGAUGGAGCUGCCUGGGGUGCUACUGUCUGGAAACUCACCCAGCGACCAGAAUCAACAGUAGAGGCAUCAGAUUCAUCACAUUCCGGUAUUGUGGCAGGUGUAAGAUGGUUGCGGCGAGUAGGACUAGAGGGGGCUGAUACGGCAAAUAGAGGGUGGCGGAAGGAAUUCAGGGAGCCAUUUGAGAAGGAUUCCCAGUCAGGUUUCCGCUUUGAACCUCUCGAAGUAGGGGAAGAAAGAGGCGGGGUUACAGGAGCACUGUUGGAUAUUCGAAGAGGUGGGAGAGAUGUAGGAAUCGAGGCUAAAUUACGGAGGAAAGGGAGGAGGUAUGAAGAGGGGUUUCCAUCAAACCGAGUGGGGCUCGGGAAAGAGGAGGACGAUGGGCUGGCAUGGUAAGAGGGUACAGGACUUGGGAAGGAUGAG
rnacentral:lncRNA from 1 species